rnacentral:rRNA from 1 species
UGGGGAAUAUUGCGCAAUGGGCGAAAGCCUGACGCAGCAACGCCGCGUGAGUGAUGAAGGCCUUCGGGUCGUAAAGCUCUGUCGGAGGGAACGAAUGCUCCUGAAGUUAACAGCCUCAGGAGGUGACGGUACCCUCAAAGGAAGCACCGGCUAACUCUGUGCCAGCAGCCGCGGUAAUACAGAGGGUGCAAGCGUUGUUCGGAAUCAUUGGGCGUAAAGGGCGUGUAGGCGGUAUGUUAAGACAGAUGUGAAAUCCCCGGGCUUAACCUGGGAACUGCGUUUGUAACUGGCAAGCUAGAGUGUGGCAGAGGGGGGUGGAAUUCCAAGUGUAGCAGUGAAAUGCGUAGAUAUUUGGAGGAACACCAAUGGCGAAGGCAGCCCCCUGGGUCAACACUGACGCUCAUGCACGAAAGCGUGGGGAGCAAACAGGAUUAGAUACCCAAGUAGUCCCUGAGCGGGCUGGCAAGGCGCAU